rnacentral:rRNA from 1 species
UACGUAGGGGGCAAGCGUUGUCCGGAUUUAUUGGGCGUAAAGAGCGUGUAGGCGGCCAGACAAGUCCGUUGCGAAAACUAGAGGCUUAACCUCUAGACGUCGAUGGAAACUGUUUGGCUAGAGUCCGGAAGAGGAGAAUGGAAUUCCUGGUGUAGCGGUGAAAUGCGCAGAUAUCAGGAAGAACACCCGUGGCUAAGGCGGUUCUCUAGUACGGUACUGACGCUGAGACGCGAAAGCGUGGGGAGCGAACAGG